UACGUAGGUGGCAAGCGUUGUCCGGAAUUAUUGGGCGUAAAGCGCGCGCAGGUGGUUUCUUAAGUCUGAUGUGAAAGCCCACGGCUCAACCGUGGAGGGUCAUUGGAAACUGGGGAACUUGAGUGCAGAAGAGGAAAGUGGAAUUCCAAGUGUAGCGGUGAAAUGCGUAGAGAUUUGGAGGAACACCAGUGGCGAAGGCGGCUCGCUGGGCUCAACCUGACGCUGAGGCGCGAAAGCGUGGGGAGCGAACCGG
rnacentral:rRNA from 1 species